rnacentral:rRNA from 1 species
GACGAACGCUGGCGGCGUGCUUAACACAUGCAAGUCGAACGGAAAGGCCCUGCUUGCAGGGUACUCGAGUGGCGAACGGGUGAGUAACACGUGGGUGAUCUGCCCUUCACUUCGGGAUAAGCCUGGGAAACUGGGUCUAAUACCGGAUAGGAGCCAUUUUUAGUGUGAUGGUUGGAAAGUUUUUUCGGUGUAGGAUGAGCUCGCGGCCUAUCAGCUUGUUGGUGGGGUAAUGGCCUACCAAGGCGGCGACGGGUAGCCGGCCUGAGAGGGUGGACGGCCACAUUGGGACUGAGAGACGGCCCAGACUCCUACGGGAGGAAGCAGUGGGGAAGAUUGCACAAGGGGCGCAAGCCUGAUGCAGCGACGCCGCGUGGGGGAUGACGGCCUUGGGGUUGUAAACUCCUUUCGCUAGGGACGAAGCUUUUUGUGACGGUACCUAGAGAAGAAGCACCGGCUAACUACGUG